rnacentral:rRNA from 1 species
GAUGAACGCUAGCGGCAGGCCUAACACAUGCAAGUCGAGGGGUAACUAGAGUGAUAGCAAUAUUACUUUGGCUAGACCGGCGCACGGGUGCGUAACACGUAUGCAACCUACCUUAUACUGGGGAAUAACUUCGAGAAAUCGACGCUAAUACCCCAUAACAUUGCGAAGAGGCAUCUCUUUGCAAUUAAAGCUCCGGCGGUAUAAGAUGGGCAUGCGUCCAAUUGGCGAGUUGGUGAGGUAACGGCUAACCAAGGCUACGAUUGGUAGGGGUUCUGAGAGGAGGAUCCCCCACACUGGUACUGAGACCCGGACCAGACUCCUACGGGAGGCAGCAGUGAGGAAUAUUGCGCAAUGGACGAAAGUCUGACGCAGCCAUGCCGCGUGCAGGAUGACGGCCCUAUGGGUUGUAAACUGCUUUUGUACGGGAAUAAACCCUUCUACGUGUAGGAGGCUGAAGGUACCGUAAGAAUAAGCACCGGCUAACUCCGUGCCAGCCGCCGCCGUAA